UGCACAUGUGGUGGAGAUGGACAUGCAGAAGACGCUCUCCAGAUCUACACUAGGUUGCUUAACUAUUGUCUGAGGUGAUUGGGAGGAGUGGUUCGAUUCAACAUGUACAAUGAACAUUUUGAGGAUUCAAAUGUCAUGGACAAGUCGCAACCAUAGAAACCAUGCUUCUGAACCUGACCAAUGGGAGCUGCCAAAUCCCUCUGGCAAGUGACAGAGUGGGUCUGACCUACAUCUACAGCCUUGCUUUCUCUAUUGGACUCCCGGCUAACCUGCUCUCCCUCAGUCGCUUUAGGGUUUCUGAUGCCCUGCUCUAUUCUAGGGUACACCUCUGCUCGAAUCGGGCUGACUCUACGAAACUCCCCGUCUGUCGCGGAUCACGAACGCCGCAAGAUUGUCGCAACCCUGGUUGUCAUCACUGUCAUCUUCAUUGUCAUUUUUGGUCCCUAUCAUCUGGUGGUCGGCUACAGAUUUGUCAGCCUGCUUCUCACAGAAAGUGAAAAAGACCAGUGUUUGGUGGAAGUUUCUCUUUACCUUUACUAUCGAAUCUGCUACGGGCUCACCAGCCUCAACACCCUUCUAGACCCUCUUUUCUACAUCUUUCUUUGUAACGAUGCUCGUCAAGAGCUUCGCAGAUCUCUUCUCUGCCCGUGCCGGGGUCAUAGGGUGCACCAGGGAUCACCAGUAACAUCUUUUCCCAAAAGUCGCCUCGAUCGCAGUGCAGAUGUGUAGCUGUCUCAUACAGAUGCUAAUCAGAGUUGGAGUCUUUGUAAGGCAUGUGCUGAAAACAAGGUUUUCACACAUGACGUGAAAAUGUCUUAUCAGACUGAGAUUUGACAAAUUGCGUCAAAUGGCACGUCCUCUGGAUCACUGUCAGUAGAGCUACGUCUUCAGCAUCUUCAGUCAAAUGUUUAGUCUGCCAGACAGCCUGAGGAGAUUCUAAUGCGUUCUCUAUAUUGCUUAAAAUACUUCAGGUGUAAUUACUCUAGCAUUCAAAA